rnacentral:rRNA from 1 species
AACGUAGGAGACAAACGUUAUCCGGAGUUACUGGGCGUAAAGGGCGCGUAGGCGGAUAGUUUAGUCAGAGGUGAAAGCCCAGGGCUCAACCUUGGAAUUGCCUUUGAUACUGGCUAUCUUGAGUUCGGGAGAGGUGAGUGGAAUGCCGAGUGUAGAGGUGAAAUUCGUAGAUAUUCGGCGGAACACCAGUGGCGAAGGCGACUCACUGGCCCGAUACUGACGCUGAGGCGCGAAAGCGUGGGGAGCAAACAGG